rnacentral:rRNA from 1 species
UACAGAGGUCUCAAGCGUUGUUCGGAUUCAUUGGGCGUAAAGGGUGCGUAGGUGGCGGGGUAAGUCAGGUGUGAAAUCUCGGGGCUCAACCCCGAAACUGCAUUUGAUACUGCCUUGCUCGAGUACUGGAGAGAGAUUGGAAUUUACGGUGUAGCAGUGAAAUGCGUAGAUAUCGUAAGGAAGACCAGUGGCGAAGGCGAAUCUCUGGACAGUUACUGACACUGAGGCACGAAGGCCAGGGGAGCAAACGGG